GCUUACUUGGUGAAAUGGUAAACACAGCAGAUUUAAAAUCUGCCCCUUUUAGGUUACCGGUUCAAGUCCGGUAGUAAGCA
rnacentral:tRNA from 1 species